UACGGGGGGGGCAAGCGUUGUUCGGAAUUACUGGGCGUAAAGGGUUCGUAGGUGGCUUGCUAAGUCAGACGUGAAAUCCCUCAGCUUAACUGGGGAACUGCGUCUGAUACUGGCGAGCUUGAGUGCAGGAGAGGAACGCGGAAUUCCAGGUGUAGCGGUGAAAUGCGUAGAUAUCUGGAGGAACACCGGUGGCGAAGGCGGCUACCUGGACAGAAACUGACGCUGAGGCGCGAAAGCUAGGGGAGCAAACAGG
rnacentral:rRNA from 1 species